rnacentral:tRNA from 1 species
UGGGGUAUCGCCAAGUGGUAAGGCUCCGGGUUCUGGUUCCGGCACCGGGGGUUCGAGUCCCUCUACCCCUG